rnacentral:rRNA from 1 species
UACAGAGGGUGCGAGCGUUAUUCGGAAUUACUGGGCGUAAAGCGUGCGUAGGCGGUUAUGUAAGUCGGAUGUGAAAGCCCCGGGCUCAACCUGGGAAUGGCAUUCGAGACUGCAUAGCUAGGAUGCGGAAGAGGGAAGUGGAAUUUCCGGUGUAGCGGUGAAAUGCGUAGAUAUCGGAAGGAACAUCAGUGGCGAAAGCGGCUUCCUGGUCCAGCAUCGACGUUCAGGCACGAAAGCGUGGGGAGCAAACAGG